GAUGAACGCCGGCGGCGUGCCUAAUACAUGCAAGUCGAGCGAAUGGAUUAAGAGCUUGCUCUUAUGAAGUUAGCGGCGGACGGGUGAGUAACACGUGGGUAACCUGCCCAUAAGACUGGGAUAACUCCGGGAAACCGGGGCUAAUACCGGAUAACAUUUUGAACCGCAUGGUUCGAAAUUGAAAGGCGGCUUCGGCUGUCACUUAUGGAUGGACCCGCGUCGCAUUAGCUAGUUGGUGAGGCAACGGCUCACCAAGGCAACGAUGCGUAGCCGACCUGGGAGGGUGAUCGGCCACACUGGGACUGAGACACGGCCCAGACUCCUACGGGAGGUAGCAGUAGGGAAUCUUCCGCAAUGGACGAAAGUCUGACGGAGCAACGCCGCGUGAGUGAUGAAGGCUUUCGGGUCGUAAAACUCUGUUGUUAGGGAAGAACAAGUGCUAGUUGAAUAAGCUGGCACCUUGACGGUACCUAACCAGAAAGCCACGGCUAACUACGUGCCAGCCGCCGCGGUAA
rnacentral:rRNA from 1 species